UACGUAGGGCGCAAGCGUUUGUCCGGAAUUAUUGGGCGUAAAGAGCUCGUAGGCGGUUUGUCGCGUCUGUCGUGAAAGCUUGGGGCUUAACCCAAGUCUGCGGUGGAUACGGGCAGACUAGAGGCAGGUAGGGGAGAUCGGAAUUCCUGGUGUAGCGGUGAAAUGCGUAGAUAUCUGGAGGAACACCGGUGGCGAAGGCGGCAUCCUGGACCGACACUGACGCUGAUGCACGAAAGCUAGGGAGCAAACGGG
rnacentral:rRNA from 1 species